rnacentral:rRNA from 1 species
UGGGGAAUAUUGGGCAAUGGAGGGAACUCUGACCCAGCCAUGCCGCGUGCAGGAUGACGGUCCUAUGGAUUGUAAACUGCUUUUGUACAGGAAGAAACAGUUCUACGUGUAGAACCUUGACGGUACUGUAAGAAUAAGGAUCGGCUAACUCCGUGCCAGCAGCCGCGGUAAUACGGAGGAUCCAAGCGUUAUCCGGAAUCAUUGGGUUUAAAGGGUCCGUAGGCGGUUAGAUAAGUCAGUGGUGAAAGCCCAUCGCUCAACGGUGGAACGGCCAUUGAUACUGUCUGACUUGAAUUAUUAGGAAGUAACUAGAAUAUGUAGUGUAGCGGUGAAAUGCUUAGAGAUUACAUGGAAUACCAAUUGCGAAGGCAGGUUACUACUAAUGGAUUGACGCUGAUGGACGAAAGCGUGGGUAGCGAACAGGAUUAGAUACCCCUGUAGUCCCUGAGCGGGCUGGCAAGGCGCAU